rnacentral:lncRNA from 1 species
AAAUAAAUCCAAGAAAAUUCACAUGUAAACUAGACAUACAAGAGUAGGUUCAUGCAAAAAAUCAGAUCAAUUGGAGGUCAAGAAGCAUGGUAAUGAAAAUCAUGAAGUUGGACAUCAAUGGUGUGACACAAAUUGUCACACCCUAAUUCAAAAAAUCAUAACUCACAAACCAGAAAUGAUAAAUUCACAAACUCUACACCAAAAUCACCAUGAGUGUGUCUAGUUUAAGCACAAAAAAUUUGGGAG